GACGGGUGCAGUGGCACAUGCCUGUAGUUACAGCUACUCAAGGUGGAGGAUCAUUUGAGUCCAGGAGUUCUGGGCUGUAGCGCUCUAUGCCAAUCGAGUGUCUACACUAAGUUUAGUACCAAUAUGGUGACCUCCUGGGAGUGGGGGACCAUAGGGUUGCCCAAGGAGGGGUGAACCAGCCUAGGCUGGAAACAUAACGGGUUAGAACUACCAUGCUAAUCUGUAGUGGGAUCAGGCCUGUGAACAGCCACUGCACUCCAGCCCGGGCAACAUAGUGAGACUGU
rnacentral:SRP_RNA from 1 species